GCCGGGUGUGGUGGUGCACACCUGUAAUCCCAGCUAUUUGGGAGGCUGAAGCACAAGAAUCGCUUGAACCCAGGAGGCAGAGGUUGCAGUGAGCCAAGAUCAUGCCACUGCCCUCUAGCCUGGGCAAUAGAGUGAGACUCUGUUUCAA
rnacentral:SRP_RNA from 1 species